GCACUGUCCUGGUGCACAGAGAAGUUCAUAUGCUGCAGCCCUAACCCCUGAUGGUGUUGGGAGCUGGAGCCUCUGAGCCCUAGCUAGGGUGGGGUGAAGUCGGAAAGAUCUGGGACGUUAGAAGAGACUUCUGAGUGACCAUGAAGAUCUCCUCAGCUUGACUGAUCCCGAAGUCACUGUUUGAGAUCUCCUCCCAGGCAGUUAUGAUAAUGCUAUUCUCUUCACUGAGUUCAAAAUCUCCCGUGGAAAUUUCCCACUGUCUGUAGGGAAGCUGGAGACUGUUGUUAGUCCUAGACUGUGUAUGAUCAAGAACAUCUACAGACUUUCAUCAUUCUUCUGUUUUCAUUUGUUUUCUCUCCAUUUCAAUUGCCUGAAUUUUACUGUCUGUGGUAAGAUCUCUGGGAUAAUGUCAUGUACCUCUGGUAAUCCCUCCAGUGAUUGUAGGCUGUGCACUUCCAGUGAUGAGUGGAAAAGGAGGAGGGCAGGAUUUUCUGGGCUCAGCCAGAACUUCACAGAGAUAGCUACUCUCUGUAAACUUCCCAGGGGCUGGCUUGAUUUCACAAUUUCACAUCCACUUCAUUUACCAUGCUGGCUUUCUCCAAAAAGUCUCUGCCUGGUAUAUUUUAAUGUUCUAUGUGGUCAAUUGUAAAGUAAGAUUUAAAACUAUGAAGCUAAAAUAUACAGUUUUCUUUUUCAUUUUAUAGGACUUUAAUGGUUAAUUUUACCUUUAAUUGUAAAAGAAUGAAAUAAACAAAAGGUGGUAGACUUAUGAAAAAAAUUAAAUUAUUUUAUAUGCAUUAAAGUGCUCUACAAUGAAAAUAUAUUUACUAGAAACAGAUUUUAAAGCAUCUCAUGAGGUGUGAUAGGAAUCGUUGAGCAUUGUGACCUUGAAUCUUUAAGCCAUCACUUCUACAAUGAAGUUAGCACUGACUUAGAAAUUCUUGACUACUUUGAAGUUCUAUUACUCUGUGAAAAAUCCUCACUCAUCACCAUUAGAAGUGGACUUAAAAAUGAAUUGAAA